UAGUUUUGUUGAAUGGAAAUGUACAUACUUUAAUAUAUCCGAAUUAUUUACAUUGUAUUUCAGGUCAGUUUACGUUGCGAGACAUGUAUGAGCAAUUUCAAAAUAUCAUGAAAAUGGGCCCCUUCAGUCAGAUCUUGGGGAUGAUCCCUGGUUUUGGGACAGAUUUUAUGAGCAAAGGAAAUGAACAGGAGUCAAUGGCAAGGCUAAAGAAAUUAAUGACAAUAAUGGAUAGUAUGAAUGAUCAAGGUAAGAUGGCAGAUUAUUUUCCUCAGGCAAAAAUGUUCUGAGUAUCAGUAAGAUGAGAGUUUCACUGUAUUCUUGUGGACAAGAUGGGGAGAAAUUUAGCCUGAAAGAUUAUUUUUAGGUAGAUUUGUAAUAGCUUGAAAGCUCUUACUCAAAGGGUUAUGAUUAUUGGAUUGCCUUCAUCGUUGAGAGAAAUGUCUAGUAUAAUACUUCUCCAAAUGAGUUACAAGGAAAGAACACUAGUUCUUCAUGAUGUUCAUAGAGUUAACUUAAAAGGAGAACUCUGA
rnacentral:lncRNA from 10 species